GGAUGCGAUCAUACCAGCACUAAAGCACCGGAUCCCAUCAGAACUCCGAAGUUAAGCGUGCUUGGGCGAGAGUAGUUCUAGGAUGGGUGACCUCCUUGGAAGUCCUCGUGUUGCAUUCC
rnacentral:rRNA from 1 species